GAGAGUGGGGAGCAAGAGAGCUGGAGUGAAAAGAAAAGGAGUGGAGAGGAAGGAGGUGGAGGAGGUGGAGGUGGAGGUGGGGCUGGGUUGGGGGUUGGGUUGGGGGGAACGUGAUCUUUGAAGGGACGUUCGGAGUUCGGCUGAACGGGACAGGGCUUACUUGGUACUCGCCAGGGCUGUGUCCCUGUCCAAGCUUAAGGUUCAUCUUAAGGUUCAUCCAUACAUCAAUUAGUUUGAGCGCGCAAUUUUUCACACUGCCAAGGCACAUGGAUAGCCCCUAGAAUCGUUUAUGAUGGAUUAAUACCACGAACAACUAUUAAAUUCAUUUCAAAUUGAUUUUUUUAUCAUCAAAAUCACAAAUUGAUGUAACUAUGAUAAAUUUAUCAUUAAAACCACAAAUUGAUAUACUUAUGAUAAAUUUACCAUUCGUUAGUUUCCAUUAAAUUUUACCUUCAAAUUAUUGAAAUAGUUUAUCAAUGUACUAGUUUUGAAUUUUACCCUUUGUUAGUCACAAAUGUAUCAUUAAUUCAGUUUAACAUAAAUUAACAUAAGGUAAAUUCGUACAGCUCUUUAGUGGUAAAAAAGAUUAAUUUUGGUUAAUUUGUCACAAGUACAUUGAUUUAGGGUUUUUCGUGUGAUCAAAAUAUUGAUUUGGGAUAAAUUUAUUACAGACAUACUAAUUUUGGAUUUUUUAUGAUAUUUACGCUAACAAGGUAAUGCUACGACAGGAUCUUAGUGCGACCAAAACGCCUUAUC
rnacentral:lncRNA from 1 species